UUGAAUAAGCCAAAGAUAGAGAGAGAAAACUUAAAGAACUAUUUGAGAAAAGAAAUAUAUUUCCAGGUUAUUAAUUCCAUCCUAAUUUUCAAUAUUGUGGAUUUAAUAAAAAGAACUCAAGGCUGCAACAUUCACUUUAAGACUAGUUAA
rnacentral:rRNA from 1 species